AGGACGAACGCUGGCGGCGUGCUUAACACAUGCAAGUCGAGCGAGGCCCUCCCUUCGGGGAGGUGUCCUAGCGGCGAACGGGUGAGUAACACGUGGGCAACCUGCCCUCAGCUCUGGGAUAACUCCGGGAAACCGGGGCUAAUACCUGAUACGACCUCGUCAGGCAUCUGUCGAGGUGGAAAGUUUUCGGCUGAGGAUGGGCCCGCGGCCUAUCAGCUUGUUGGUGGGUGAUGGCCUACCAAGGCGACGACGGGUAGCCGGCCUGAGAGGGUGACCGGCCACACUGGGACUGAGACACGGCCCAGACUCCUACGGGAGGCAGCAGUGGGGAAUUUUGCGCAAUGGGGGAAACCCUGACGCAGCAACGCCGCGUGGAGGAUGAAGCCCCUUGGGGCGUAAACUCCUUUCGACCAAGACGAUAAUGACGGUACUGGUGGAAGAAGCACCGGCUAACUCUGCGCCAGCAGCCGC
rnacentral:rRNA from 1 species